GAUGAACGCUGGCGGCGUGCUUAACACAUGCAAGUCGAGCGAGUGAGUUCUUCGGAACGAUCUAGCGGCGGACGGGUGAGUAACACGUGGGCAACCUGCCUCAUAGAGGGGAAUAGCCUCCCGAAAGGGAGAUUAAUACCGCAUAAAAUUAUCGAGUGGCAUCACAUGAUAAUCAAAGGAGUAACCCGCUAUGAGAUGGGCCCGCGGCGCAUUAGCUAGUUGGUGAGGUAACGGCUCACCAAGGCGACGAUGCGUAGCCGACCUGAGAGGGUGAUUGCCCAAAUUGGGACUGAGAAACGGCCGAGACUCCUACGGGAGGCAGCAGUGGGGAAUAUUGCACAAUGGGGGAAACCCUGAUGCAGCAACGCCGCGUGAGUGAUGAAGGUCUUCGGAUUGUAAAGCUCUGUCUUUGGGGACGAUAAUGACGGUACCCAAGGAGGAAGCCACGGCUAACUACGUGCCAGCCGCCGCCGUAA
rnacentral:rRNA from 1 species